AGUGAACGCUGGCGGUAGGCCUAACACAUGCAAGUCGAACGGCAGCACAGUAAGAGCUUGCUCUUACGGGUGGCGAGUGGCGGACGGGUGAGGAAUACAUCGGAAUCUACUUUUUCGUGGGGGAUAACGUAGGGAAACUUACGCUAGUACCGCAUACGACCUACGGGUGAAAGCAGGGGAUCUUCGGACCUUGCGCGAUUGAAUGAGCCGAUGUCGGAUUAGCUAGUUGGCGGGGUAAAGGCCCACCAAGGCGACGAUCCGUAGCUGGUCUGAGAGGAUGAUCAGCCACACUGGAACUGAGACACGGUCCAGACUCCUACGGGAGGCAGCAGUGGGGAAUAUUGGACAAUGGGCGCAAGCCUGAUCCAGCCAUACCGCGUGGGUGAAGAAGGCCUUCGGGUUGUAAAGCCCUUUUGUUGGGAAAGAAAAGCAGCAGGUUAAUACCCCGCUGUUCUGACGGUACCCAAAGAAUAAGCACCGGCUAACUUCGUGC
rnacentral:rRNA from 1 species